rnacentral:rRNA from 1 species
UAGGGAAUAUUGCGCAAUGGACGGAAGUCUGACGCAGCGACGCCGCGUGAGCGAUGAAGGUCUUCGGAUCGUAAAGCUCUGUCCUUGGGGAAGAAGGCGAAAGCUUGACGGUACCCAAGAAGAAAGCCCCGGCUAACUACGUGCCAGCAGCCGCGGUAAUACGUAGGGGGCGAGCGUUGUCCGGAAUUACUGGGCGUAAAGGGUGCGUAGGCGGCCCUUUAAGUCGGAUGUGAAAGCCCGCGGCUUAACCGCGGAAUGGCAUUCGAAACUGGAGGGCUUGAGUGUCGGAGAGGGUAGUGGAAUUCCCAGUGUAGCGGUGAAAUGCGUAGAUAUUGGGAGGAACACCAGUGGCGAAGGCGACUACCUGGACGAUAACUGACGCUGAGGCACGAAAGCUAGG